AUUGAACGCUGGCGGCAUGCCUUACACAUGCAAGUCGAACGGCAGCACGGGUGCUUGCACCUGGUGGCGAGUGGCGAACGGGUGAGUAAUACAUCGGAACAUACCUUAUCGUGGGGGAUAACGCAGCGAAAGCUGAGCUAAUACCGCAUACGCCCUGAGGGGGAAAGCGGGGGAUCGAAAGACCUCGCGCGAUUAGAGCGGCCGAUGCCUGAUUAGCUUGUGGGUGGGGUAAAAGCCCACCAAGGCGACGAUCAGUAGCUGGUCUGAGAGGACGAUCAGCCACACUGGGACUGAGACACGGCCCAGACUCCUACGGGAGGCAGCAGUGGGGAAUUUUGGACAAUGGGGGCAACCCUGCUCCAGCAAUGCCGCGUGAGUGAAGAAGGCCUUCGGGUUGUAAAGCUCUUUUGUCAGGGAAGAAACACCGGCUCUAACACAGUCCGGGAAUGACGGUACCUGAAGAAUAAGCACCGGCUAACUACGUGCCAGCCGCCGCAGUAA
rnacentral:rRNA from 1 species